AUUGAACGCUGGCGGCAUGCUUUACACAUGCAAGUCGAACGGUAACAGGCCGCAAGGUGCUGACGAGUGGCGAACGGGUGAGUAAUGCAUCGGAACGUGCCCAGUCGUGGGGGAUAACUACUCGAAAGAGUAGCUAAUACCGCAUACGAUCUAUGGAUGAAAGCGGGGGACCGUAAGGCCUCGCGCGAUUGGAGCGGCCGAUGUCAGAUUAGGUAGUUGGUGGGGUAAAGGCUCACCAAGCCAACGAUCUGUAGCUGGUCUGAGAGGACGACCAGCCACACUGGAACUGAGACACGGCCCAGACUCCUACGGGAGGCAGCAGUGGGGAAUUUUGGGCAAUGGGCGCAAGCCUGAUCCAGCAAUGCCGCGUGCAGGAAGAAGGCCUUCGGGUUGUAAACUGCUUUUGUACGGAACGAAACGGCUCUGGUUAAUACCCGGGGCUAAUGACGGUACCGUAAGAAUAAGCACCGGCUAACUACGUG
rnacentral:rRNA from 1 species